UACAGAGGUCUCAAGCGUUGUUCGGAUUCACUGGGCUUAAAGGGCGCGUAGGCGGGCUCGCCAGUCAGGGGUGAAAUCCUCCGGCUUAACCGGAGAACAGCCUUUGAUACUGCGAGUCUCGAGGAAGGUAGGGGCAUGUGGAACUUCCGGUGGAGCGGUGAAAUGCGUAGAUAUCGGAAGGAACGCCGGUGGCGAAAGCGACGUGCUGGACCUUUACUGACGCUGAGGCGCGAAAGCCAGGGGAGCAAACGGG
rnacentral:rRNA from 1 species